rnacentral:rRNA from 1 species
UACGUAGGGUGCGAGCGUUAAUCGGAAUUACUGGGCGUAAAGCGUGCGCAGGCGGUUUCUGGAGUCCGUUGUGAAAGCCCCGGGCUUAACCUGGGAAUGGCAGUGGAAACUAGGAGACUUGAAUCUGGCAGAGGGGGGUGGAAUGCCACGUGUAGCAGUGAAAUGCGUAGAGAUGUGGCGGAACACCGAUGGCGAAGGCAGCCCCCUGGGUCAAGAUUGACGCUCAGGCACGAAAGCGUGGGGAGCAAACAGG